rnacentral:rRNA from 1 species
UACGUAGGGUGCGAGCGUUGUCCGGAAUUAUUGGGCGUAAAGAGCUCGUAGGCGGUGUGUCACGUCGGCCGUGAAAACCUGCAGCUUAACUGUGGCGUGCGGUCGAUACGGGCAUCACUGGAGUUCGGCAGGGGAGACUGGAAUUCCUGGUGUAGCGGUGAAAUGACGUAGAUAUCCUGAGGAACACCGGUGGCCGAAAGCGGCGCGCUAGACACCUACUGACGCUGAGGCACGAAAGCCAGGGAGCAAACGGG